rnacentral:rRNA from 1 species
UACGGAGGGAGCUAGCGUUGUUCGGAAUUACUGGGCGUAAAGCGCACGUAGGCGGCUAUUCAAGUCAGAGGUGAAAGCCUGGAGCUCAACUCCAGAACUGCCUUUGAAACUAGAUAGCUUGAAUCCAGGAGAGGUGAGUGGAAUUCCGAGUGUAGAGGUGAAAUUCGUAGAUAUUCGCAAGAACACCAGUGGCGAAGGCGGCUCACUGGCCCGGUACUGACGCUGAGGUGCGAAAGCGUGGGGAGCAAACAGG